rnacentral:rRNA from 1 species
CACGUAGGGCGCAAGCGUUAUCCGGAAUUAUUGGGCGUAAAGAGCUCGUAGGCGGUUUGUCGCGUCUGCCGUGAAAGUCCGGGGCUCAACUCCGGAUCUGCGGUGGGUACGGGCAGACUAGAGUGAUGUAGGGGAGACUGGAAUUCCUGGUGUAGCGGUGAAAUGCGCAGAUAUCAGGAGGAACACCGGUGGCGAAGGCGGGUCUCUGGGCCGAUACUGACGCUGAGGAGCGAAAGCGUGGGGAGCGAACAGG